rnacentral:rRNA from 1 species
AGAUUGAACGCUGGCGGCAUGCCUUACACAUGCAAGUCGAACGGCAGCGCGGGGCAACCUGGCGGCGAGUGGCGAACGGGUGAGUAAUAUAUCGGAACGUACCCUGGAGUGGGGGAUAACGUAGCGAAAGUUACGCUAAUACCGCAUACGAUCUAAGGAUGAAAGUGGGGGAUUCGCAAGAACCUCAUGCUCCUGGAGCGGCCGAUAUCUGAUUAGCUAGUUGGUGGGUAAAGGCCUACCAAGGCAUCGAUCAGUAGCUGGUCUGAGAGGACGACCAGCCACACUGGAACUGAGACACGGUCCAGACUCCUACGGGAGGCAGCAGUGGGGAAUUUUGGACAAUGGGCGAAAGCCUGAUCCAGCAAUGCCGCGUGAGUGAAGAAGGCCUUCGGUGUAAAGCUCUUUGUCAGGAAGAAACGGUGAAGGCUAAUAUCCUUUGCUAAUGACGGUACCUGAAGAAUAAGCACCGGACUAACUACGUGCCAGCAGCCG